rnacentral:rRNA from 1 species
GACGUAGGGCGCGAGCGUUGUCCGGAUUUAUUGGGCGUAAAGAGCUCGUAGGCGGCUUGUCGCGUCGACUGUGAAAACCCGAGGCUCAACUUCGGGCUUGCAGUCGAUACGGGCAGGCUAGAGUUCGGUAGGGGGAGACUGGAAUUCCUGGUGUAGCGGUGAAAUGCGCAGAUAUCGGGAGGAACACCAAUGGCGAAGGCAGCUCGCUGGGACGUUACUGACGCUGAGACGCGAAAGCGUGGGAGCAACAG